rnacentral:rRNA from 1 species
CAGUCGCCGCGGUAAUACGAAGGGGGCUAGCGUUGUUCGGAAUUACUGGGCGUAAAGCGCACGUAGGCGGAUAUUUAAGUCAGGGGUGAAAUCCCAGAGCUCAACUCUGGAACUGCCUUUGAUACUGGGUGUCUUGAGUGUGAUAGAGGUAUGUGGAACUCCGAGUGUAGAGGUGAAAUUCGUAGAUAUUCGGAAGAACACCAGUGGCGAAGGCGACAUACUGGAUCAUUACUGACGCUGAGGCUCGAAAGCGUGGGGAGCAAACAGGAUUAGAUACCCCCGUAGUCCCUGUCUCUUAUAA